rnacentral:rRNA from 1 species
UACGUAGGGGGCUAGCGUUGUCCGGAUUUAUUGGGCGUAAAGAGCGUGUAGGCGGCCAGGUAGGUCUGGUGUGAAAACUCGAGGCUUAACCUCGAGAUGUCAUCGGAAACCAUCUGGCUAGAGUCCGGAAGAGGAGAGUGGAAUUCCUGGUGUAGCGGUGAAAUGCGCAGAUAUCAGGAAGAACACCAAUAGCGAAGGCAGCUCGCUGGGACGGUACUGACGCUGAGGCGCGAAAGCGUGGGGAGCGAACAGG